UACGUAGGGUGCAGGCGUUAAUCGGAAUUACUGGGCGUAAAGCGUGCGUAGGCGGCCAACUAAGUCAGACGUGAAAUCCCUCGGCUUAACCGGGGAACUGCAUCUGAUACUGGAUGGCUUGAGUUCGGGAGAGGGAUGCGGAAUUCCAGGUGUAGCGGUGAAAUGCGUAGAUAUCUGGAGGAACACCGGUGGCGAAGGCGGCAUCCUGGACCGACACUGACGCUGAGGAGCGAAAGCCAGGGGAGCAAACGGG
rnacentral:rRNA from 1 species